CCCUUAGAUGUCCGGGGCUGCACGCGCGCUACACUGAAUGAAUCAGCGUGCUAGAAAACCUUGUUUGACAUGGCUAGGUAACCCAUUGAAAAUCAUUCGUGAUUGGGAUCGGGAUUUGCAAAUGUGUCCCUUGAACGAGGAAUUCCCAGUAAGUGCGGGUCAUCAGCUCGCGUUGAUUACGUCCCUGCCCUUUGUACACACCGCCCGUUGCACCUACCGAUUGAAUGGUCCGGUGAAGUCUCCGGACUGAGUACUUUUAGUACUUGGGAAGUUGACUAAACCUUACUAUUUAGAGGAAGGUGAAGUCGUAACA
rnacentral:rRNA from 1 species